UGUGGCCUAGGGGGAGCUGCUUGGCCCCACAAAUGGAGCCUGAAAUCACCCCCUGGCUCCAGACCCAGGGCAACUAAGAAGGACAGGACAAGUCUCACUGUUUCCAUUUGGGAACACUGAAGAGCACCCUAACUUUACAAGCCUGCUCCUUCAUAAACAAUUCAGUUAGGUGGACCUGGCUGGGUGAGGUUCGGUCAUUCAAAAGAUGAGAAGAACCUGUAAUCUCACUCCAGAAGGAGACAUGAGCACCAAAAAACUCAGGAACGUUCAUUUGGUGAGCCACUUGUAGAAGCAGACUACACGGGAAGACAGGACAGUAAGCUUGGUUCAGUCUGAACCUACAUGGCCCCAUCAUUGUCUCCAGAGUCAGAGUUUACAGUAGCCUGGCAGGAAGAUCAUCAUUUCUAC